GAGGAGAUGCCGGAGCGGUCAAACGGGGCAGACUCAAGAUCUGCUGGCUUUCGCCUUCAGGGGUUCGAAUCCUCUUCUCCUCA
rnacentral:tRNA from 1 species